rnacentral:rRNA from 1 species
GACGGGGGGUGCAAGCGUUGUUCGGAAUCAUUGGGCGUAAAGCGCGUGCAGGUGGCUCUGCAAGUCAGAUGUGAAAGCCCCGGGCUUAACCCGGGAAGGGCAUUUGAAACUGCAAAGCUUGAGUAUGGAAGAGGGGUCGUGGAAUUCCAGGUGUAGCGGUGAAAAUGCGCAGAUAUCAGGAGGAACACCGGUGGCGAAGGCGGGGUCUCUGGGGCCGAUACUG